ACCAGUGUGGCAGAGUGGUUUGAGUGCUGGAUUACGACUCUGGAGAACAGGGUUCGAUUUCCAGCUCAGUCA
rnacentral:tRNA from 1 species